AGCCUUGUCCAAGUGAGAGUGGGAUUGCUGAAGCAGGACAAGGUCUUCCAUCUGAGCGUGCCUGACUCCACCUGCAGGUGGAUUACAGACUUCCAGUCUGACAGGAGGCAGCACGUGAAGUUGUGAAAACCUGUCUGACUCCAGGACCUUCAGCACCAAUUCCCCUUCAGGCUGCGUUCUUUCCCCCCUGCUGCUCUCCCUGUACACCAACAGCUUCACCUCCAGUCACCAGUCCGUCAAGCUCCUGAAGUUUGUGAAUGACACCACCCUCACUGGGCUCAUCUUGGUUCGUGAUGAGUCCACCUACAAGGGGGGAGAUUGAUCAUCUGGUGAUCUGGUAGUAAUGACUUUGAGCCUAUAUUUGUUGUGAUACUCGUAAAAUUUUUAGAACAGAGAUGAACAAACCAUUAAGUGCAUUAUUUACUGACAUUUAUUGAAUUAAUAAUUCACAUCUGAAUGUUCAACAUUCAAAGUAGUUACUCAUGUUUUUUCUAAUUUAUUUCAUAUUAUUUGUUAAUUUCACAAUAUUUCAUGAAUUGUAUAUUAAGCUUAAGUUGCAGCAAAUAGCAUGCAUUACAAUUAACAAAAACUUGAAUUCUACACACUAAGCAAAUAUAAAUCAUAAUGAUACUAGACAUAUUGUUCUUAUUUGUCUACUUUUCAGGAUAAAGCCAUCGUAGAAAUUGUGUCAAUAGAGAGGCUUUGUCCUAUGACAUCAGAGUUACAACUGCAAAAGAAAUGAAAAUUACAUUUCCUCUUGUAGGCAAUUACAAUUUUAACCAAAUAAGUUUAUAAACCAAAUACACACCAAAAAGAUAUAAUUUCUUAACAAAAAUAAUUCUAAUUUCACUAAGAACCACAACAGCAAAAAGAUCAAACAAAUAAGUAUGAAUUUUAUUUUCACUUUCAACAUAAAAAGGCUUCACAACAUACAGAAACCUUCCGGUUUUUAUCCCGUUUGAGUGCCCAGAUAUUUUUUAUUUAACUUAAAGCAACCAUAAUCAAAUUCAUGUAUUGCUACAGGAUCUUUUAAAAAGUAGGUUAGUGUUAUUAACGUGAUCAUAACUAUAUUUUCUAUUUUCUUUACCUAGCUGAGCUUCAAUUUCUCACUGCAGUGUGGAAACGGUGUAUUUCACUCCAGAAAGUUUUCAGUUUCUCACAGCCGUCACACAGUUUCCUCUUCUCCUGAAAUUAGCUUGAGAUAUAUGUCAUUUCCAUGACAACUCAUGAUUGACAGGUCUCUCUUUUACCCAGCUCUAGAAGUGUGAGAUUUGGGGAUUUUGAACAAAAUACAUUUUCUUUGUCAUCACAUUACAGCCAUUACACGCUCAAAACACUUUUAGAAGCUUGUACCAUAAAUCUUCCAUUACUUGUAGGUGUUACUAGAAAUUAUAAUUAAACAAAUCUUACUUCUUGUCCUGUCCUGUUAUCAGUAUUACGUCUCUUUAUAAAAGACAGUAUUGUUUAAGAUUCAUACUGGUAUUUUUAUUAGUAUUAUACUAUACUGGCUUUGAUUUUGGAAAUUAGGAAACACAUCUGCAGUAUCAUUUAUUUAAUGCCCUGUCGUCUGUAAUAGAUUUGGAUGCCUUGCUGUAUUGUUAACAGCCUCAUGUUUUCAUUAAGCCUAAAUCCCCACAUUUGAUUUAGACUUUUUAAUUAUAGCAGACUAAAAAUCUAUGUAUGAGGUCUAUUUUAUCUGUAUUUUUUAUAUAAUAUUAUAAUACAUAUUUUGGUUCAUUAUUCAUUUCCUUUAUUGACUGAAACACAGAUAAAAAUUAAUCAUAUUUUGAUUACCCCAGCAGCUGAUGUCAGACUGAAUAAUGUGUAAUAAUGUGCUGCCAACUGAUAAAACAAACACAAAGAAUGAAGCCAUGUGAGAAGAAGCUCAAAUAUGGGAGAUAUGAAAGAGCUGUUGCAGAAAUUCACUGUUUAUGUUUUGCAAUAUACAUGUGUUAAUUACUGCA